rnacentral:rRNA from 2 species
ACUCUGGUAUUGAUUGGUGCUUGCAUCAUGAUUUACAUUUGAGUGAGUGGCGAACUGGUGAGUAACACGUGGGAAACCUGCCCAGAAGCGGGGGAUAACACCUGGAAACAGAUGCUAAUACCGCAUAACAACUUGGACCGCAUGGUCCGAGCUUGAAAGAUGGCUUCGGCUAUCACUUUUGGAUGGUCCCGCGGCGUAUUAGCUAGAUGGUGGGGUAACGGCUCACCAUGGCAAUGAUACGUAGCCGACCUGAGAGGGUAAUCGGCCACAUUGGGACUGAGACACGGCCCAAACUCCUACGGGAGGCAGCAGUAGGGAAUCUUCCACAAUGGACGAAAGUCUGAUGGAGCAACGCCGCGUGAGUGAAGAAGGGUUUCGGCUCGUAAAACUCUGUUGUUAAAGAAGAACAUAUCUGAGAGUAACUGUUCAGGUAUUGACGGUAUUUAACCAGAAAGCCACGGCUAACUACGUGCCAGCAGCCGCGGUAAUACGUAGAUGGCAAGCGUUGUCCGGNNAUUUAUUGGGCGUAAAGCGAGCGCAGGCGGUUUUUUCAAGUCUGAUGUGAAAGCCUUCGGCUCAACCGAAGAAGUGCAUCGGAAACUGGGAAACUUGAGUGCAGAAGAGGACAGUGGAACUCCAUGUGUAGCGGUGAAAUGCGUAGAUAUAUGGAAGAACACCAGUGGCGAAAGCGGCUGUCUGGUCUGUAACUGACGCUGAGGCUCGAAAGUAUGGGUAGCAAACAGGAUUAGAUACCCUGGUAGUCCAUACCGUAAACGAUGAAUGCUAAGUGUUGGAGGGUUUCCGCCCUUCAGUGCUGCAGCUAACGCAUUAAGCAUUCCGCCUGGGGAGUACGGCCGCAAGGCUGAAACUCAAAGGAAUUGACGGGGGCCCGCACAAGCGGUGGAGCAUGUGGUUUAAUUCGAAGCUACGCGAAGAACCUUACCAGGUCUUGACAUACUAUGCAAAUCUAAGAGAUUAGACGUUCCCUUCGGGGACAUGGAUACAGGUGGUGCAUGGUUGUCGUCAGCUCGUGUCGUGAGAUGUUGGGUUAAGUCCCGCAACGAGCGCAACCCUUAUUAUCAGUUGCCAGCAUUAAGUUGGGCACUCUGGUGAGACUGCCGGUGACAAACCGGAGGAAGGUGGGGAUGACGUCAAAUCAUCAUGCCCCUUAUGACCUGGGCUACACACGUGCUACAAUGGAUGGUACAACGAGUUGCGAACUCGCGAGAGUAAGCUAAUCUCUUAAAGCCAUUCUCAGUUCGGAUUGUAGGCUGCAACUCGCCUACAUGAAGUCGGAAUCGCUAGUAAUCGCGGAUCAGCAUGCCGCGGUGAAUACGUUCCCGGGCCUUGUACACACCGCCCGUCACACCAUGAGAGUUUGUAACACCCAAAGUCGGU